rnacentral:lncRNA from 1 species
GGACAGUCUCAAGCAAAGGGAAUAGUGCAUGUUCUACUUCAAUUUCAAUGGCAGCCUCCCAUCUCUCAAAGCUCCGUAAAUCUUUCAACAUGAGGCUCUUCAAUCCUGGGAAUGCUGAGCGGACCAUUGUAUAUUCUCCACCAUCAUACCAUUUUCUGAGCACUCCCGCUUCUGGUAAUGCUGUCAACUUUUCGCAGCGUUCAAUAUGCAAUUUCUCGAGCUGAGGAAAUGCUACUAGCUCUUCUUCCACUGCCUGAUCAUAAAACCUAUCAAAAUUAUCAAGAUCAACAAGCUUAAGAUCCUUAAGCUUUCCAAAUGUGGAGGAUGUACAACUGCUGCACAAGAACUGCAACUGUGUCAAUCCUUCCAAAUGAAGAAGCUGUAGUGCUGGUAACUGGCACAAUGGAGGAAGCUGCUCAGAUUUUCUACACCAAGAUAGCCGAAGCUCAACCAUGUUUCUUAACGCACCCAUCCAUAAUGGAAAAUUGGUGCCUUGGUAGGCUUCUAUUUCUAGAGCUAGUAG